rnacentral:rRNA from 1 species
AGUGAACGCUGGCGGUAUGCCUAACACAUGCAAGUCGAACGGCAGCACAGUAAGAGCUUGCUCUUACGGGUGGCGAGUGGCGGACGGGUGAGGAAUACAUCGGAAUCUACUUUUUCGUGGGGGAUAACGUAGGGAAACUUACGCUAAUACCGCAUACGACCUACGGGUGAAAGCAGGGGAUCUUCGGACCUUGCGCGAUUGAAUGAGCCGAUGUCGGAUUAGCUAGUUGGCGGGGUAAAGGCCCACCAAGGCGACGAUCCGUAGCUGGUCUGAGAGGAUGAUCAGCCACACUGUAACUGAGACACGGUCCAGACUCCUACGGGAGGCAGCAGUGGGGAAUAUUGGACAAUGGGCGCAAGCCUGAUCCAGCCAUACCGCGUGGGUGAAGAAGGCCUUCGGGUUGUAAAGCCCUUUUGUUGGGAAAGAAAAGCAGCAGGUUAAUACCCCGCUGUUCUGACGGUACCCAAAGAAUAAGCACCGGCUAACUUCGUG